rfam:[Haemophilus] felis strain CCTG 31170 31170T_ctg_0000040, whole genome shotgun sequence.
GCUACAUUGAAUUUUCGUUCCUUGCUUCCGCAGAUUGGUGGCUGGUCUAACAGUCGGAGGCUGAUUAACCCGUAAGGAGCAGUAAUG